rnacentral:rRNA from 1 species
ACUCCUACGGGAGGCAGCAGUGGGGAAUAUUGCACAAUGGGCGCAAGCCUGAUGCAGCCAUGCCGCGUGUGUGAAGAAGGCCUUCGGGUUGUAAAGCACUUUCAGUCGUGAGGAAGGUGGUAGUGUUAAUAGCACUAUCAUUUGACGUUAGCGACAGAAGAAGCACCGGCUAACUCCGUGCCAGCAGCCGCGGUAAUACGGAGGGUGCGAGCGUUAAUCGGAAUUACUGGGCGUAAAGCGCAUGCAGGUGGUUUGUUAAGUUCAGAUGUGAAAGCCCGGGGCUCAACCUCGGAAUAGCAUUUGAAACUGGCAGACUAGAGUACUGUAGAGGGGGUAGGAAUUUC